AAGAAUAUGGUCUGGUAACAGUAACAGUAGAGAGAGGGUUUUAACUAUCAGAACAAUACUGCCUUCAGUAGUGCUGGUUUAUGCUUGUUGCUUCCUCACCAUUACUGAAACAGUGCAGUGUGCCACAGAUGGUGAGUGUGCUGGGCUGGAAACACAAGGCGUGGUGGGUCUGCUGGUGUGAUGUCUGUCUGAAUGCCUCUGUGGGGACAGGAGACAUUAUGAGGGAUCAGACAGGCUGGUGUUUGUUUAUACAGUCUCCAGCUCCACACAAACAGCCUGCAGUCACUGACCCACACAGCACCAGCAGCCUAGACACUGAUGGUCCUGGAGAGUGAGGGGGCGCACGGUCUGCCAGAGCCAAAGCAUGCCUCUAAAACCAGAGCAAAGAAUGAGCUCAAAUCAAAAUCUUGUAUUAUUUUAUUGUUGUUAAAAUUGGAAAAUCUGAGACUGAAAAUAUAUAUUAUCUUUUAUCAUCUAUAUUUACAUAUUCAAUACAAUACAAUACAUCGUACUUCAAAAUGUGGCCUAUACAUAACUUCAACAGUUCAGGUAAAAUAUUUAAAAGACUAAUAACUAAUGCAUGCAUGUGUGUCCUUCUUCCACCUGUCCCACUCAAACCUGGGAUGCACAGAGCAGCUUCAGGAGCCAAAACAUGUCCACCCUCAGAGAAAGGCUGAAUAAACAGCUUUGAAUAUUCACUGUGAUUACAUCUGACACAUCUGAAGACGGGAUGCUAUGUGUUGGUCACAAAAUGACAGCCAUCACACGUCCCACAGUGUACAUGAGAAAACGCUGUGUCACAGUCUUUUAGAAAAGAGCUAGGAGCAUAAAACACAAAGAGCAUUGACAUUAUAAAGUUUUUACAUUCUGCAAGUAGUAAUCAAAAGUAAACAUUCAAAGUUAAAGAUGUACUGUGUAACCUUUCUGGUGCAGGACCUGACCUGCCAUCAGUUUGUGUCCAUGCAGAUAUUAUUGUUUUGCCUUGAUUAUUUCACAGUAUGGAAAUAAACUUGGUAAUCACAAUGGAGACAAGUUAAUGGUCAGAUUUAUGGAGAAGCCUGAACAUGGCCUGAACAAGGUAUUUUAAGCUAUAAAACAUCUGUAAUUAAACAAAUGCAAAGAAGAUAUGUUUAAUGCCCUACUGUCAAACAUUCCAGGAAAAGAAAAACAUCUCCUUGGAGACAAGCAAGUAGCAGACCCAUCACCUUACAAGUUACACACUGCACCUAUAAGAGUUCAUUUUGACUGAUUA